UCCGGUUUGUCACCGGCAGUCCCAUUAGAGUGCCCAACUAAAUGUAGCAACUAAUGGCAAGGGUUGCGCUCGUUGCGGGACUUAACCCAACAUCUCACGACACGAGCUGACGACAGCCAUGCAGCACCUGUGUCCAAGUUCCCUUUCGGGCACCCCUAGCUCUCACCAGGGUUCUUGGCAUGUCAAGGGUAGGUAAGGUUUUUCGCGUUGCAUCGAAUUAAUCCACAUCAUCCACCGCUUGUGCGGGCCCCCGUCAAUUCCUUUGAGUUUCAAUCUUGCGACCGUACUCCCCAGGCGGUCAACUUCACGCGUUAGCUACGUUACUAAGUGAUCAAGUCACCCAACAACUAGUUGACAUCGUUUAGGGCGUGGACUAC
rnacentral:misc_RNA from 1 species